GGCCAGACUCCUACGGGAGGCAGCAGUAGGGAAUAUUGCACAAUGGGGGAAACCCUGAUGCAGCGACGCCGCGUGAGUGAAGAAGUAUUUCGGUAUGUAAAGCUCUAUCGGCAGGAAAGAAAAUGACGGUACCUGACUAAGAAGCCCCGGCUAGCUACGUGCCAGCAGCCGCGGUAAUACGUAGGGGGCAAGCGUUAUCCGGAUUUACUGGGUGUAAAGGGAGCGUAGACGGUGAAGCAAGUCUGAAGUGAAAGGCGGGGGCUCAACCCCCGGACUGCUUUGGAAACUGUUUGACUGGAGUGCAGGAGAGGUAAGUGGAAUUCCUAGUGUAGCGGUGAAAUGCGUAGAUAUUAGGAGGAACACCAGUGGCGAAGGCGGCUUACUGGACUGUAACUGACGUUGAGGCUCGAAAGCGUGGGGAGCAAACAGGAUUAGAUACCCCCGUA
rnacentral:rRNA from 1 species